rnacentral:rRNA from 1 species
GACGAACGCUGGCGGCGUGCUUAACACAUGCAAGUCGUACGGUAAGGCCCUUUCGGGGGUACACGAGUGGCGAACGGGUGAGUAACACGUGAGUAACCUGCCCACAACUUUGGGAUAACGCUAGGAAACUGGUGCUAAUACUGGAUAUGUGCUCCUGCUGCAUGGUGGGGGUUGGAAAGCUCCGGCGGUUGUGGAUGGACUCGCGGCCUAUCAGCUUGUUGGUGGGGUAGUGGCCUACCAAGGCGGCGACGGGUAGCCGGCCUGAGAGGGUGACCGGCCACAUUGGGACUGAGAUACGGCCCAGACUCCUACGGGAGGCAGCAGUGGGGAAUAUUGCACAAUGGGCGCAAGCCUGAUGCAGCAACGCCGCGUGCGGGAUGACGGCAUUCGGGUUGUAAACCGCUUUCAGCAGGGACGAAGCUUUUUGUGACGGUACCUGCAGAAGAAGCACCGGCUAACUACGUG